CUCAAGCCCUGGCAGCCGCGGGCUCCUCCACAGCCGCGCUCAGCCCUGCUGCCAGGCGGGGUUUGGUGCUGGAAAUGCAGGGGUCUUGAUCCUGCAGUUAUCCUCUCCCCAUCCAUGCCUCUAACUGAACUCUGUGAACACUGUGGAUCUAAAGCCCCCACACCUGACAAGAGGACAGAGCCUCAAGCUGCACCAGGCAAGGUUCAGGUUGGAUAUCAGAAAUAAUUUUUUCACAGAAAUGGUCGUUAAACAUCGGAAUGGACUACCCAAGGGAAGUGCUGGAGUUCCUGGAGGUGUUCUAGAAACAUCUGGACACAGCACUUGGUGCUCCAGCGUGGUUGACAAGGUGGUGAUCCAUCAAAAGCUGGGUCAAUGAUCUUAAAGGCUGUUUCCCACCCAAAUGAUCCUAUGAUUCGAUCCUGGAGACCAGAGCUGGCUUAGAGGAUGCUUCUGCCUUGCUCACCGUCCCUUCCCAGGGAAAAGAGGAGCCUCUGGAGCCGCCCAUGCUCGCUGAGCAAGCCCUGAGGGCAGGGUGGGAGCAGCUGCUCCUCUGAGGUCUCAGGGACAGCGACAAGGCAAGGAGGAGCCACAAAACACAGACCUGGCUCCCCAGCUGGCCAAAACAGAGACAAUCCAAAAACUGGUAUCCAGAGACAAGGAAAAUCCUGCCUUCUCUAACCUACCUGUCACCUCAGCGCUGUGACACUGACUCCUUCCUCCAAGUUUCAAAAAAAGCAAAAAAAUAUGUCCCCUCUCCCAUUCUGCCCUUUCUGCUCCAGAAGAGGCACACAGCAGUUUCUCCUUCCUCCUUCAUAUGUCUUGUCUCACUGUGCUCUGAUACAAAUUUGAUGUGUUAGAUCUGCAGCCCAUUGCAGCCUUGUUCUUCUCUGCAGUUCCACGGGUACCUCUCUUAGACUUCACUGCGACUCUGGGAAAAGGUCACAGCUCUUGUUCAUGCUGCUCCAGCAUCCAGCAGAACAGGGCACUGCACAGACACUCUGGGUGCAACCCGCCUUCCCUGGCAGCCACAGGACUGGCACUUCUCCCCAGGCUAAGCCAUCUGCCUACAGGCACGAGGUGUCAGCUCCCAUGACAGUCAUUGGUAAGAUGACAUUUUGGUGAAAUGUGACUGAAGCUCAACUCACCUGAACACAGGCAGCCAGUGGCACCUUGGAUGCUGCACCGUAUUUUCCUUGCUGUUUCAGGGCAGUGCCAAUGCCUUUAUGUCCUCUGUCACUCCUGCCAGCCCUGUGCACACACCUAUGGUAACUCAGGGUUUCUCAAAUGGUACAAGACCUUUAUGUUAUGCAAAGUGGGUUCUCCCACCCCGCAGAUGCUCAGUUACAUCCUUUUCAACAGCACUGCACCAAUGGGGAUGGGAGUUUAGAAAACCAUACACAGACAUCUGCAGACUGUUCUGCCCAGAAAAAGGCAUCCCAUGCUAUCUGAGAUGCUUUGAGGGCUUGUGUGCAGCAGGUUAAUACCACAUAAGAUCUAUGGAAACCCACAACUUCUGAAGGCCAGAUAAAAAACCCCAGGGCACCUCCGAGUGCACACAGUGAUUUGUGUGCAACUCUACUGACCCUCAUGCAUUUCAGACUGGAGUUGAAGCCCCUCACUGCAGCUGUCUACAAUGUAGAUACUUUCCCUUUAUGGUCAAAGAAGAGAGACAUUUCCAGAGGAUGAGUCACAUCAUUCCCCUCCUCCCCACUGACCAUAUAAGCAUGGACAGACUCAGAUUAAAAUAUCCAACUUACAGAGAGAUAAGUUACGACAGGUGAAUCCCUCUGUUCCCUGCAGUAAUACACACAGACAAAACUCAUCGGAAUGAAUCGAUGGAAAGCAUCCAUCCUCAACCUCCCAGCUCAUGGUUUUAAAUUACUCUCACACAACAAACUAGAUAAUAUAUCAUAUUUAGUCAGCUGAAAAAAAAGUAACUGAUGAGAUAAAUGUUAUUCUCGUCAGGCUCCAGUUUUCUUCUUCAUGAAGAAUGAAAUGUCAGGAGACCUCACCAGAGGAGAAAUCAGGAAGGUUCAUUUCACUUGAGAAGGGCAACUGAGUGCUGAAAAUCCUCCCAGAGAGACAUGGGAACAGACAACCCAGCGAGCAGAGGGGCUGAAGUACAAAGUCUCUUUCUCCUCUUUACAGACAAGCUGAUUUUAUCAACUUAUUCUGAAAUGAUGCAGAAUGAAGUUAGAUGACAACAGCCCAGUUUAACACCUGAGGUGUAGCCAGAUUCUUUCUUCCACAGAGCUGUGUGGAAAAAUUACCUAACAUAAGUAGGCAUUGCUGCAUGAAAAAAAGCAAUUGCACAACCCCAUCUCUUAUGUGCUCCUGUCUGGCUCAUCCCUGCCCUAGAAGAAACUUUAAUGAUAUGGUGCAAGUCACAGGCUCAAGGAACAGGUGUAAAUCAGUACUGAAUAACAAGCCCCAAAAUAUCCAUUUUUUGCCAGGAGCAGUUCCUCAGCUGAGGUUAUAGAAUAGCUACAUAACACUGGCAUACAAAAGGAAACACUGCAGGAGAGAGAACAGGCAGCCAGGGAUGAAGAGGGUGAACAGAACAGACUCCUAUGCCAGCAUUGCUGCUUUUACCAUAGUUAUAUAUAGCACAAGGUGUGGAAUAAAUGCAGAAGAUCUCA